CAAGCCUUGCUGUAUACAGGAUGCUAUACGGGAUACAUGCUGAACGCUUUGAUAUGGUUCCCCAAUUUAAGUCGGUUGCACUAGCGUGGGGGAGAAAAUGGAUAUUCAUAGACUUUUUAUUUCCUCUUGAGAUAGUUAAACUGGUUACCUGAUACGUUCGUGGUGCGAUGUGAAUACUCUGCAUUCCCAGAUCAUCUUUCCUUGUUUUGAGUGUUUUUGGAUGUUUUCGGGCAAACUUUUGGCCUGUACAGUAGAGUCUUCCCCCCCUUUUUUUUGGAAAACUGGCAGGAGCGUUGCCAUAUCAUAUAAGAAGAAGAAAGAAUAGAACAUGUUUUACAAGACUAGCAAAUAUGCCCAUGCGUUGCAACGAGAGGGGGAAAAAAAUCCUUACCUACCCUUACCCAGCAACCAUGACCAAAACCUCAAAGAUGACUUGAUUUAUGUCCCAUAUUAAUUAUUAUCAAAAUAGAAUUCAAUAAUAUUAGAAAUUCAUGCCUAAAUAAUAUCAAUUUUCUUUGAGCAAGAUUAGGAAUUCAGGCCUGAAUAAAACAAACCAAUAAAAAAUGGCAUGUGUUUUUAGUAAUUGAGGACACACCAUUUUUUAGUAAUUCAUCUUUUGCUGGUGAGUGCUGCUCUCGCCGUCUACCUCAAGCUCCCUUACAUGGCCACUAACAUCCCAAAAAGCUUUGGAGAGCUUGGGGACACUCCCCUCGAGUUCUUCGAGGUCCCUCCCAUCCCGGCGUCUCACCUCAGUAGGGAGAUGUGCGAGCGCCCAGAGAGGGACGUCUACAACGCCGCUCUGAGCAUGUGUGCUUGAAUGCCGGACAACACCGACAGCAUCCUCGUGGACACGUUUGAGUUGUUAGGAUGUGCUAUACAAGUUUUAAAUGUUACUCUUAUGAUGAUAUAUGUGGGUAAUUUGGAUGCAAACUUAGGGACUACUUUGCAUUGGCUCUCAUAAUGGAUGAGGUGGGUAAUUUAUAUGAAAAAAUAGAGGGAUAUUUUAAAUUAUCUUCAUAAUGAUAGAGAUUGGUAAUUUAGAUAUAAAUAAAUUUAUAAUUUAUUUUGAAUUAUAUUUUAUAAGGACAAAGAUGGGCUAUUUGGAUGCAAAUUUAGAGAGGUACUGGAUGGAUAUUUUUUAUUGAAACAAAAAGGAUCUAAUGCUAUUGUUGGUGAUGAUGGUUAGAGUCUGCGAAAUCAAGGGCCAACUAUUUCUGAUUAUUAUGAGAAUUUUUAUGAUUUGUCUUUUUUCCUAGCGCAUCCCAUGAUAACUAUAUUAAGCCUCUAAUUAGUAACGGUAAGAUAAAAUACUACUAUGUUCAUUUCUUUGAGAAUGAAAAUUAGUAGAGAGCUGGACUUGGAAAUAAUUCAAAGCUCAUCCCAUGAUAACUAUAUUAAGCCUCUAAUUAGUAACAGUAAGAUAAAAUACUACUAUGUUCAUUUCUUUGAGAAUAAAAAUUAGUAGAGAGCUAGACUUGGAAAUAAUUCGAUGGAACUGAAUAAGAUAUGAAAAUAUAAGCAGCAACCAACUUAUUUUAUAUUAUUAUUGUAGAUCAUUGCUCAACAAUCGACCAUUACAUUGCAUUGACAUAACUCUUUCAGUUUGCCAUGGUUGCUCCUAUAUAUCUGCUUUUCCUUCCCAACAACAAUGCUUGAGGAUUCACCAUAUAUGAUUGUCACGGAAGAAGAUAUUUUAACAUCGGCCUUGGGUUAAUUGGCUUGCAUGCUACUGUAUGUACGCGGAGAUGAAGGCAUGCUCCUUGCUAAUGGCCCUCAAUCCAGACCGUAAUAACCAGACAAAAUAAACCCACCGCCUCUCCGCUCUGGAUGACCUGCUGUAUGACGCUUCGAUUCUUCAAGAAAAUUGAAAUAAAAUUUGGGAUGGAGGGAGUAAUAACUUAGAGUGAUGUUUUAAUAAAUUUGAUGUUUUUUGUUGAUUAUGUAUGCAAAUUUUAAUUCUUGAGAAGUCUCAUUUCUAGGCUCUAGCGCUACCAAACGUCUGAAUUAUAUUAUAACACAGAAUGAUAUUAUAGUAUUUAGUUUAUUUAUUCCUAUAGUGCAUUUCUCGUAGUUUUUCCUUCAAAUCAAUAUUCCACUACUGAGCAUUGCGGUCUUAUUGCCAACUUUGUAAUUCAAUAUUUACUUUAUUUCUCCUAAUUCCAUUUGUCUAUUUUCCCAUAUAACUUGCAAAAUCAAUAAAUUCUAGUAAAUAAUUAGAUUUGCAAAAUUCUAGUAAAUAGACCAACGUCUUACUAGAUUUUAGUAAAUUAUUAACACAAUUCUUGUAGUUCAUAUAUAUCUAUAUAUCUUGAAAGUGAUUGAUGCUACUAGAUUUUUUUUUGAGCAAAGAUUGAUGCUACUAGGUGGUAAUUUAUUUUCUCUUCUUUUCAUAUUUUUCUUUGCAUACCUAACCUUUCAAAAUCAGUUCUUUGUUCUAUAUAUUGACACGAUGCACUUCAUUUUCUUCAGCUCUUCAAGCUAUGCAUCCUAAAUUUUGUUCUAGAUAUUGACAGGAUGCACUUCAUUUUUCUUCAGCUCUUCAAGCUAUGCAGCCUAAAUGAGCAGACCGUGCCACUGUCCUUUCUAAUUGAUUCCUGUGCAUUUCUUCCAUAAUCUCCAACUGAAGUUGGAAUGUCGAGUAAGACGAGUUUCUCCUCCCCUGCUUGCUUCUACAAUGAGCUUGCAUUGGAUGACAGCCGCGGCAGAGGGGUGAAACACUGUAGCAACAGUGUGCUGUGGCUGCAGCAGCGCUGAAAAGAAGGCCAGCCAAACAGAUGACCUCUGCGACGGGAUCCUCCGAUGUCAACUUCACUGUGACGCUUCUUUAGCAUCAGUCCAUGCCCAAUGGCCGAAGCAUGCCACUAGAUCAUACGAAUUACCCACAUGAUACAACAUUCCUGGAACCCAUCAACUUCGACAAAUAUUCAUCAAAUAUACAAUUAACCUACUGCCAAACACGGCGGUACGGGGCACACCGCACGGCUUACUAGUAAUUUAAAGAAAUGUGAACGUACUAUGCAUUUGCAAACAUUAUAUAAACAUCUCCCACAACAAUACAAUGAUAAAACCCUAAUAGAAAUUGUUUAACAUCCAUGAAUGUGAAAAGAGUUCACCAGAUCGCAUCACAUUAAUACAUCAUAGCAGUCAACAGCUCGGCGGGAUAAAUGGUUCCUAAAAAAGUCACAUAAUAGUUCAAAAAUCAAACCUAAAUCAACACGUACACUAGUAGGCUGCAACUCAAACUCCACAACCGCAGCUGCCUGAGACUUCUUGAGAUGCGUGGCAUCUUGCAUAUGCUGCUGCUCAGGCUAUCUCCCACCAAUAGUCAGCCCUUGAAAUAAAAAAUAGCUAUCAGCAAGCAUAUUUUUCUAUAACAGACUGAAUUUUCUCAAAUAUGGAAAAUUUAUUUGCAUUAAUAAUAAUCAUGCACUGACAACCUGCUCCUAGAUGUUUUAUUCUUCCACUUGAGGUUCUGCCCCUGCAGGUUCUUCAAUUCCCUUGGAAACAAUGGUACUGCACAUGCCAAAUAAAAAAAGUUAGAUAAUUGAAGCCAAUUUAUUCAAAUCAAGAAUAAAAGUAAUCUAUUCAGAUGGACAAAGUGACUAAGUGUCUACGCACAUGUUAAUACGUAAUAUGCAAUGACCAAUUUUUUGAAGAAUGCAAUUCUAAAUAUUUCAUUUUUGAAUGGUUUUAUCAAAUACUAAGAAAAAUAAUACAUGAUACUUCAAAUUAGAUUAUUCUUUGAGUUUAAUCAAAUAUGAGACAGAUACUACCUUUUCCAUUUUUUAAAAGUAUCUAGUAGCUCCCAAACAGUCCAUGCUUGCCAGUGUCCCUGAUCAAGAUAUGUUAUCCCCACUAGAUCACCAGACAAAUUGAACAAUGGUGAUCCUAAGUAAGCGUACUCAUGCAUAUCGCAAUCAUGAAAUAGAACUCUGCAACAAACAUCUCUGUUUAUUGAAGAAGAAAAACAUUAUUAAUUUUAUUUAAACGACAAUAUUACAUAAUGUGAUAAUAUAUGAGAGAUCUUACAUUACUGAACCUCUGCAAUAACCGGUUGGUGUAAUAUACCCUUCUCUAGGGAAAACAAAUGAAUGAACAGGAUCACCAACUUGAACAGACUGAGUCUCAAACCUGACUGCUUUUAUAUAGCCAUUUUCACUUGGCUUAGCAGCAAAUAUAUAGAAACCUCCCGCAGAUUUAAUGGGCUUACGAACAUCAAGUUCUUGUUCGUAUCCUGUAGCGUUUGGGAAGUUCACUACAAAUCUUUUUUUCAUCCCAAAAAAUUUGGAAUUCGCUGCUAUGACAGCAGACCCAUCAUCUUCUAUUGAAAGAAUAAUGCCAGCAAUAACCAUAAACCGCUUGUCCUCCGGCUUCGGCUUCCAGUCAAAAGAUAUACGCACAAUUGACUUACGGACCUCCUGAAUAACUUGAGGGUGUUGUUAACAAGAAUUAAAAAAAAACAGAAAACCAGAUAGGGAUUAGGUAAACCAUCACAGAAAGAAGCGACGGACCUGCUCCAUGAAACAAAUACGAGCCCCGGCGCCAAUCUACGGAAGAGGAGAAGGGAGUGAGGAUGGCACCGGCCGGCCGGCGCAAGGUAAACAGGAGCUGCUCGCCGCUGUGAAUACCGCCUCCCUCCGCAGCGUGCCUUGGACAGGCGCGGGAUGGCAAGGGGGCAGAUCGUGCCCUCGGAGAUCACUGAAUCAGCCGUCGAUUCGUCAUGCGGCGCUCGUACUCUUGCCGGCUUCAGGAUCCGCUCCUGCCCCCGGGAACCUCGCCCUCCAAAUCCCGCCGUGCGCCGUCCUGCAGUGCGCCUGACGGCGCUGGAUCUGAAGGACCAGGACAGGGAUGGCACAGGCAGGAGGAUGAGAAACGGAUCCGAGGAUGAUGGCCGAAGAGCAAGGCAGCCGCCGCCCGACGCCCACGGCCCACCAAUGAGGAGCUGAGGAGCAGUCAGGGAGGAGAGGGAUGAGAUUCUGUUGAGGGGUUUCGUGUUGUAGAGAUCCCGACAACGGUCUUCAACAAAUCUGCCCCUACCCGGAUCUAGGGUCUCCGACAGUGAGCUAAUACCUGUUUGUUGAUACGAGGGGCUAAACUUUAGCAGUGUCAUAUCGAAUAUUCGGAUGCUAAUUAGAAGAACUAAUUAUAAAAACUAAUUGCAGAAUCCUAUGCUAAUUCGUGAGACGAAUCUAUUAAGCCUAAUUAAUUCAUCAUUAACAAAUGAUUACUGUAGCACCACAUUGUCAAAUCAUGGACUAAUUAGGCUUAAUAGAUUCGUCUCGUGAAUUAGACUCCAUCUGUACAAUUAGUUUAGUAAUUAGCCUAUGUUUAAUACUCCUAAUUAGCAUCCAAACAUCCAAUGUGACAGGUGCUAAACUUUAGCGGGGUGUAUCCAAACACCCCCGCAAAUUCAGAGGAGAGAGAUUGAUGGUUCAUUUUUAUAUGUUAAAUUUGACUACAUUUUAUAUAAAAAUACAUUAAUAUUUAUAAUACAUAAUUAUCUAUCAUUAGAUAGAUUGUUGAAUCUAUUUUUAUAAUAAAUUUAAUUAGAGAUAUAAAUAUUGUAAAUAUUUUAUACAUAUCUAGUCAAACUUAAAAAAGUUUAACCGGCAUAGGUGUACGGGUUAUUGCAAGCCUUGCUGUAUACAGGAUGCUAUACGGGAUACAUGCUGAACGCUUUGAUAUGGUUCCCCAAUUUAAGUCGGUUGCACUAGCGUGGGGGAGAAAAUGGAUAUUCAUAGACUUUUUAUUUCCCCUUGAGAUAGUUAAACUGGUUACCUGAUACGUUCGUGGUGCGAUGUGAAUACUCUGCAUUCCCAGAUCAUCUUUCCUUGUUUUGAGUGUUUUUGGAUGUUUUAGGGCAAACUUUUGGCCUGUACAGUAGAGUCUUCCCCCCCUUUUUUUUGGAAAACUGGCAGGAGC
rnacentral:lncRNA from 1 species